AAACCUAACUAAACCUAACAAUAAUUAAAAGAUAGUAAAGGAAAAUAACAACAAAAACGAAAAGAAAAGGGACAAAAUAAAUAGAUAAAGAAAAGAAAAGAAUGCACCUGGUUUGAAAAUGUGACUUGGCAUUAGACAUGGGGCAGGAUGCAAAGAAACACAGCGCAAGAGUGGCAGCCAUGGAAACCAGAAGACUAGGCCCUGAAAAAAUCCACCCACUUAACCAGCCCACGUGAUGGCAGACACCAUAAACAGAAGUUAGACGCCUGGAACACGUGCAAUACACAUGGGUGACUGAAACCUUAAAGCUCCAUUAUACAAAUUAAAACACACCCUAUUGCCAUCAUUUUUCCUUACUGAGAGCUAUCUCGAGCCCAGAGCCAACAGCUCCUUAUCUCUAACCUUCAUCCAUCUCUAUAGCCAUGCCACCAUAGCCAUUUUGUCCAAAAUCACGACUGAUGUUCGAACUACAACCUACCACCCACAAACUUCGAGUUUGAGAAAUGAAAACCGGGAACUCUAAAGCCAUACCCGCAACCCUAGAUCCAUCACAUUGCGCAGCCAGCACUGGGAUCUUUGUCCUCCAUGGCAGAUAAAAAUGCUCACUCUCCUUCUCAUGCAUGUGUAUCUUGUGCAGGACUUUCAAAUCCACCGCAGGAAACAACCCAAAUCAUAGAUCUUAAGGUUGAACGAAAGGAGCAGAUUCUAUGGAAAUUUCAAGGUCAUCAGGGGUUGUUUCCUCCUUUGGGCGUGAAUAAUAGGCAAAUGGCUCCUCGAUUCCUGCAUCAACCUCUUGAUCAUCAUAGCGUCUCCCACAGUUUACUGCUUGAAUUUGAAAUCCUUGAUUGGUUAUUUCUAUGUACAAUUCAGUUGAUUCCAACAAUUUAGAUAGUUUGUCUUCCACCUAAAGCUCUUGUGGCACAUUAAACUGCUCAAAAUAGUGCUUAAGAUGCUUUUGCAAA